UACCGAGAAGUACGGUAGCCGUAACCGCAAGGAGGCGCUACCACGGUGUGGUCAAUGACUGGGGUG
rnacentral:rRNA from 1 species